rnacentral:rRNA from 1 species
GACGAACGCUGGCGGCGUGCUUAACACAUGCAAGUCGAACGGAAAGGCCCCUUUGGGGGUCCUCGAGUGGCGAACGGGUGAGUAACACGUGAGUAACCUGCCCUUGACUUCGGGAUAACUUCAGGAAACUGGGGCUAAUACCGGAUAGGAAUCCUUGCUGCAUGGUGGGGGUUGGAAAGCUUCGGCGGCUUUGGAUGGACUCGCGGCUUAUCAGCUUGUUGGUGGGGUAGUGGCUUACCAAGGCUUUGACGGGUAGCCGGCCUGAGAGGGCGACCGGCCACAUUGGGACUGAGAUACGGCCCAGACUCCUACGGGAGGCAGCAGUGGGGAAUAUUGCACAAUGGGCGGAAGCCUGAUGCAGCAACGCCGCGUGCGGGAGGACGGCCUUCGGGUUGUAAACCGCUUUCAGCAGGGGCGAAGCUUGUGGUGACGGUACCUGCAGAAGAAGCACCGGCUAACUACGUG